rnacentral:rRNA from 1 species
UACGUAGGUGGCAAGCGUUGUCCGGAAUUAUUGGGCGUAAAGCGCGCGCAGGCGGUCCUUUAAGUCUGAUGUGAAAGCCCACGGCUCAACCGUGGAGGGUCAUUGGAAACUGGGGGACUUGAGUGCAGGAGAGAAGAGUGGAAUUCCACGUGUAGCGGUGAAAUGCGUAGAGAUGUGGAGGAACACCAGUGGCGAAGGCGACUCUUUGGCCUGUAACCGACGCUGAGGCGCGAAAGCGUGGGGAGCAAACAGG